CAUUAUACCACUAAAUUAAUGGUGCAGAUAAAUGCAAGGAAUAGGGAGUGAAAACAAGAGUGACCAGUUUAUGUAAUAUUAUUAAUACAUUGUACAACAGGCUGCAGUUUACCAUCGUGCACAGCCUACAGCAUUAAUAUUGAUUUUUGUAGGCUGUGCAGAACAGUUUUUUUGUUUUGUUUUGUUUUUUUCUUUCCUAAUAGUUUCAUUUAUCAAGAAAAGGAAGAAUUCAGUUUCACGCAUCACGCAUCAGACAGCUGUCCCCAGCCAAUUGAAAAUUAAGGAACAGGUAUGGUUUCUAUGUUUCUACACAGGACAAAAAUAAAGAACAAAAGUGAUAGUAAUGGAACUAUUCAUUAUACACAAGUCUGUACUCAUAACAAAAAGGUCAUAUUCCGACUCAGUAGAUACUGUGUUACCCAACACCGAGUCAGUUGUAUAACUAAACCAAACACAAUUUAAGAUUAUGUAUCUGCAGAUUGUAAACAAUAUAUUUUGUAUUUGUCCCAUUCUGUAUAAUAUUUUAAUGCUUGAUGGAGAUGCAAUACCUGUUGACCAGGAAGUAGCUGAUAAUUCUCUGUUAAUCAAGAUAAUACAUUUGUUGAGGAUAUGAGAAUUUAACAUACCUGUUAAGCUGCAGCCAAGCAACAUUUAUGGCAAAUAUAGUGUUUAACAAACAUUUUGUAGUGUUCUGGACACCACAAAAGCUAACCAAAAGAUAAAGCAAAUUGCAGUUUGGACUGAAACCAAUGUCUAAGUCUACCCAAGAACAUUCUUCCUCCUUCACUAAAUUUUACUGUUGGCCCUAUGCAGUCAGUAAGUAGUAUUCUACCCGACAUCCUUCAAAUCUACAAUUAUCCAUUAGAAUAAGUUUCAAUUGUUCAAUGGUGGCAUGCUUUAAGCCAUGCAUGGUGAUCUGAGUCAGUUUGAACCUACACAUGUUAGUUCUACAACCUAAAUGAUACAAUCUACAUAUUUCAGGGCUUGCCAAUCUUAUUCCGUGAUCUUGCAUGGCCUACAACUUCUCAAUUUAGUCUAUUGGUGCUACUUUCUUCACCAAUACAGCAUUUAAAAUUGACUAGUAAGUCUUGCGGGGCAGAAAUUUGACCAACUAUUUUUGUGGUGGUUUACCAUUACCGAUGCCAUGGUAGACACUGAGCUUUGCAGUAUGGACCGUAAUUAUACUUAUUUAUUGGAGAUUAUAAGGAAAAUGAAAUAAAAGUGAAAUAGCUAUUGUCUUAUUAUUUUGGGGGGAUGAGUUAUCUGUGUAAGUAGUGGUACUUUUAACGGGGCAAGUAUAUUAACAAAACAAAAUUUUCAGGUGAUUCAAGUUCAUGUUAUUUGACCAAACUUAAACUACCAGAAAUAAAUGUAUUUAUUUUUUCUUCCAUUAAUCAAUGUGCAAUUUUGGUGACCAGUUUCAAAAAGGACAUGAUGGAACUGGAAAAAGUGCAGGGGAGGACUGUGGGCCGAACAUAAUCAAACAGGAGAGAGUACAGCAAGUAGAUGGGACAACAAGAAAGAAUGGCAAGUAUGGAGGUAUAAAUUAAGGAAUGUUUAUGGUAGGGUAGGUGGGUUGGCAUAGUACGCAAUUCUUGUUGGUCAGAUUGGAUUGGUAUUCUCAGUUUGUAGCCCUUAAAUGCCAGGGCGUAAGCAAUGUUUUAAGAGAAAUGUUGGUAUUUAACACUAACGUUUAAGAGUGGUCAGUACAGUAAGGAAUUCAAAGGCUUGAUCUAAGUAGAGCUCUGUAGUGGGUUAUUAGAACCAACAGAUUUUACUAGAACAUCUCAAAUGUUGCAGCCAGAGAGAGAUUCCGUUUGGACAGAGUCCAUUCCCCUUGGCUAAAGCAGUGAAAGUAACACUGUGUGCACUGUACCAGCCAAUUCACAGUUUCCAACGGGUGCGGUAAACUGCCUGUCUGCAAGCUGUCUCCUCUAACCAAAGAAAUACUCAGACCAUGUAUUAACUCUUUGGGGGUGGUAGGCUUGGGUCGGUUCCCAGUAUUUUAAUAUUUCACAUAUAUCAUACUGCUUCGCACUGUAUAUGUUACAUGUGCAUCAGUAAAUAACUUGGCCCCUGUUAUACACAGGCUAAAUUUUAUUUUUGUUUUGAUAGAAAAUUUGUUUAAUAUCUGGCAUUGAUUGACUUUUUUUGAGAGGCUAGGAAUAAUCUUCGCUAACAUAUUUAUAUUGUAACAUUUAACUUAAUCUUCCAGUAGAGUAGGGUCAAAGUUGAUCAUCUAAUAAUGCCUAUUUUCUCAAUGCUCCACUUGCAAGUCACAUGCAGUUUGCAGAGCCUUCACAAUAAGCUGCAUUAGACACCCUGAGUGACAGCCAUGAGGUGGGUGCAUGCUGCACUCCUCUAUUAGCUUUGCAUUGGCUCAAAAAGUAGCACAGAGGAGAAGUAUAGAUAUAGUAUGGCAGCUUGGUGUGUUCAGCCUGCACGUGAGUGGAAGGGGUGAAAAUUUAACAUCCUCUACUGAAAGAUGUCAUGCCGAGCUGGCAAACCAGACAGAGGUGGAAUUAGGGUGGUGGAGGGACAUACACACAACAGAAUGGGUGGCAGAAAAAUCACAAAUAAAAAAAGAUUAAUGUAAUUAAUUAUGUG